rnacentral:rRNA from 1 species
AGUGAAGCGGGAAGAGCUCAAGCUUAAAAUCUCUGUGCAAGUUUUGCGCAGCGAAUUGUAGUCUACAAAGGCGUGACCAGUGGUUGCUCGCGAGAAAAGUUCUUUGGAAGAAGGCAGCAUGGAGGGUGAUACUCCCGUGUAUUCUUGUGAGAUUGCCGCGUACGGUCCGUUUUUCUUGAGUCGCGUUGUUUGGGAAUGCAGCGCAAAGCCGGUGGUAAAUUCCAUCGAAGGCUAAAUACUGGUGCGAGACCGAUAGCGAACAAGUACCGUGAGGGAAAGAUGAAAAGAACUUUGAAAAGAGAGUUAAAGAGUACCUGAAACUGCUGAGAGGGAAUCGAAUCGUUUCCAGUGUCUUUGAUCCUUGGUAUAUUUCGCUUGUUUUCUUGGAGACGAGUGCCCUGUACCUUGGUGUGACGUCAGAGUCAGUUCGUGUCGUCGCGGGAAAUGGCUUGAUGGUGAGGUAGGCUCUUGGUUCGCCAGGAGCUAUUAUAUGCCGUCUUGCUAGUUGUCGUGGCCUGGACUGAGGAUUUUAUAUGUUCACAGUAUGCCUUCAAGUGCGUCGGCUUUUUACGUAGUCAAGUGGUAGGAAGGCGUGCCUUGCUUUUGCUUGCUUCUGCGUAAUGAUAGUCGUCGUGAAUUUGUGCUGCUCGGGACUCUGACGAAAUGGAGCGAUUCGCCCCGUCUUGAAACACGGACCAAGGAGUCUAACAGGUGUGCAAGUGUUUGAUCGUGGAACAUCAAGCGCGCAAUGAAAGUAAAGGGCGGCGUGAGUCGUCCGAGGUAGGAAGGUCGCAAGACUGGCACUAUCGACCGAUCAAGAUUCUUCGUGAAGAAAGAUUUGAGUUUGAGCACACGUGUUGGUACCCGAAAGAUGGUGAACUAUGCCUGAGUAGGGUGAAGCCAGGGGAAACUCUGGUGGAAGCUCGAAGCGGUUCUGACGUGCAAAUCGAUCGUCUGACUUGGGUAUAGGGGCGAAAGACUAAUCGAAUCAUCUAGUAGCUGGUUCCCU